AUUGAACGCUGGCGGCAGGCCUAACACAUGCAAGUCGAACGGAUGUAGCAAUACAUCAGUGGCAGACGGGUGAGGAACACGUGGGAAUAUUCCUUUCAGUUCGGAAUAACGUUGGGAAACUAACGCUAAUACCGGAUACGUCCUUCGGGAGAAAGAUUUAUCGCUGAAAGAUUAGCCCGCGUCUGAUUAGCUAGUUGGUGAGGUAAUGGCUCACCAAGGCGACGAUCAGUAGCUGGUCUGAGAGGAUGAUCAGCCACAUUGGGACUGAGACACGGCCCAAACUCCUACGGGAGGCAGCAGUGGGGAAUAUUGGACAAUGGGCGCAAGCCUGAUCCAGCCAUGCCGCGUGAGUGAUGAAGGCCUUCGGGUUGUAAAGCUCUUUUGUCCGGGAAGAUAAUGACUGUACCGGAAGAAUAAGCCCCGGCAAACUUCGUGCCAGCAGCCGCCGUAA
rnacentral:rRNA from 1 species